rnacentral:lncRNA from 1 species
UGCUCCUUCUGUUUUAAUAAACCACAUUAGUACUUUAUUUCGUAUGACCAGAGAAUCUGUCAUUGUUCAUUUAGAUAUAUGUGUGUACACCACGGUCCAUUGCUCACCACAUGUUCCUCUCUUCUCCCAUUUCUCCUACUUUGAGAUCUCUAUUCUAAUGGAUCUGUUCUUUGGAAUUGGUCAUUGAGUAUUUUCUUCUGAUGGAAUAAGUGAUCUACUCUGAAUCUUAAUGUCUUUGCAACUGUAUUUCUUUUGUCCUGACAAACAAAUAAUAAUUUGACUAAGCAUUGAGCAUUUCCAUUCUAGCUCUUUUAAAAAUUUUCAAAUGUUUUCCUACCUUCACCUAACCUCCAUUCUUAUAGAUAAUAAGAGCAAUGACAGUCUGAUUAUUUUUCAUGACAGUAGAGUGCAUUUUGGCAUAUUGUACCUACAAGAAGUAUUAUUUAUUCUAAUUGGGAUUUGGUUAGUUUUCCAUUUUAGGUAAUGUUAUGGACUACAUUGUGCCCCACCCAAAAUGUACAUAUUGAAGUCCUAAUCCCAAAGUGGCUGUACUUGAAGAUAGGGUCUUUAAGGGGGUACUUACUUGGAAGUGAGGUCAUAAGGCAGUAGCCAUAAUCCAAAAGGACUAAUGUUCCUAUAAGAAGAGGAAGAGACACAAGAGAUCUUCCUCUCAGCUCAGCAUCCAGAUGUAAAGACAGAAGACAACUCAGCAGAGAAGUAGCUGCUACAAAACACGAGAGUCUCACCAGAAAUCAACCCUGCUUGUACCUCGUCUGGACUUCAGUCACCAGAACUAUGAGAAAAUAAAUUUCCACCACUUCAGCCAUCCAGUCUCAGGUAUUCUGCUGUGACGGUCCUUUUUUCUUUUUAUUUGAAUGUUUGUAAGAUUGUCCCUUUAGCAUUAGAGUUCUAGAAUUUUGUCAGGAUGAACCUAAGUGUGCAUCUUUUUUCAUCAACUCUGUCUGGAACUUGCAUUAUUUUAAUUUCUGGAUAUAUUCUUUACCUCCAACCCUCAGGGAAUUUUUCCUUCUUGGUCACUUAUUUCUGCUUUUCUUUCUUUUUUUUCCCCCUUUGUAAAAUCCUAUUAUUUGCAUGUUUCAUCUCAAGGUGUUUGUUUGUUUUUAAUCUAUGAUGAUUUGAGAUAUUUCUUCUCACUAAUAUUCCAGUGAAUGGAUUUGGGUCUUAGUAAUGGCUGACUAUUCUCUCAAUCAUUUAAUUCAUUGUACUUUUUUAUUUCAAAAAUUAUGAUAUAAGGUAUCUAGACAAGAUUUACUAGUAUUGUGCUAGAAUUCUUUUUACCAUUUGUUUUAUUCAAGAAAUUCUAACUUACCUGACAAUUUUCUUCUUCCAUUAAAUAAUUUACCUCUUCAUGAUUGACAUCAUAAUACUCAUACAGUCUUCACUGGAAAAUGUCUGAUGUCACUGCUAUGGCCCAGGAAAUCUGUGAAUAGGCAUAAAGAACAUAAUUAAGAAAAAUUCAUUUUUACUCUCACUGAGCUUAUACUUUAGGGUUAUGCACAAGUUUCAUACAAACCAAUAGUGAAUAUCUGAAAACAAAUAAUGUAUGCUAUAAGAGGAAAUAAAAGACUACUAGAUGAAAAAUUUACAGUGCAGAAUGGAAGUGUAGUGAUUGUUCUGAAUGCUGUGGUUAUGACAGUUCCCCAAGGUAUAAAAUGAAAGUUGGGUUGGUCAGUGAGAGAUUUCAAUGGAACCCUACUGCAGACAGAAGAACACAUUUAUAUAGAGUUUGGUCUCUUUCAGGAGCUGAAAGGAGCCCCCAAAGCUGAAGCAAACUGGAUUUGUGAGGUGGUGUAAGAAUGUAGCCUUCAUUGUAAGACCAUGAAGAGCUGCUGUCAUGUGGAAGAAUGGAGCAGCAUUAUCCAACUUUCAAGUGAACAAGAUGACUGUGGAUGCCAUUAAGAGUACUGGUGGUAGAUGGACCAUGAUUUUAGUGCUAUCUAAAAGGGGGGGUCCUUAAAUUUUUACCAGAAAGGGAAAAAUGGUAACUAUUUUAGGCUUUGCAGCUUGUAGGGUUUCUAAUUUAAGUAAACUACCUAUGUUGCAUGUAAACUUACAGACAAUACAUAAAUAAAUGUCUGUGACUGUAUUUUGAUAAAAUAUUUCUAAGAACAGGUAGUGGGCCUAGCUUUGGCCUGCAAGUAGUGGUCUGAUGAUCCACAGUCUAAACAUUUCAAAGUUUCUCUAACUUACCCGCAAAGACCAUCACUGAAACGAUGAUCUCAAAAUUCUGUGAUGUGUCUGGUAGACUGAUCCCCAUGACUAGCAUUUGGUAGGUACUCAAUAAAUAUUUUUGAAGAGUAAGCAUUGCAGAAAGACAUCAUGUUUGUGUCAUCAGGGAAGUAAAUUUCAUUUAUUCAACCUUUGACUUUUUGUCACUGUCAGGUUCCUGCCCAUAACAGAGCAUAUUGUAGAGUGAUUAAGAGUAACCAACAAUGGACAAUCAGCCUAACUGGAAAUACAGAAAACUUGUGUUGGCUUGUAUUCUUCUCAAUAUCCCAUUUCUUUUCCUAUCAAUGGAGAGAUAUACAUAUGAUAGACUUCAUUCACUCUUGUCUUUGACUUUAUUAACUCUUUUGUUAGGAUAUAGUUAAAUAGGUUCUUGUGCCUUAAUUUAGCUGCUAUUCACUAUAUAAUAUUUAUGUAAAAGUACAACGGAUCUUGUGAUAAUUGAAUGCAGCAUAGUUCAGAGACACAAGGACCUAAGUAGCAUGCUCAAAUCAAGAUGGUAAAAUAGAGGAGGUCGAGUUCCUGACUGCUCCUUUCUUGGCAUGAAACCAAGGAAGCAGACAGGCAGCUUCUCCACAAAGUGGGUAAACAAACAGACCAAAAAUGGGUGAGUCUUUGUUGGAACUUAAAACUGGACAUUCAAAGCAGACAAGGGACAUAGGACAUUGGAUAUAAUAAAAUAAGGGGAAAAAUCCCCAGCAGCACAGAUACUGCCACAGCCAGGCCAAAAGCACCAGCCAGAGAGGUUCCUCCGUGAGCAUAGUGGAGGGAUAAGGGAAUUAAAGGAACAUGCAUUUUGGGGGAGACUGAAAGCUUGUCUGGGUACAGAGCAUUUAGAGACCAAGGACAUUGCCCAACAAACCUGAAAGAUGUGCUGCAUGAUCUCCAUGUACAGGGAAAGAAACUGCUGUCUCUCUAGGCAUCCAGCAGAGGGCAAAGGAAGGAACCAUUUUGCAGCCUUGGCAAGGAGGCUGGCAGCCGAGGAAGCCAGUUCUUGGCAAAUUCAAGUUUGGCCCCAAACACAGGCCCAGUAAACACACACUGCACAACAUAAAGUGUGCUUAAAUGAUCAGAAGAAAAGUAAACAUGGAGGAAGGUUUACAGAGGGCACAAAUGGUCAUAGAAACCCACCUGGCUCUAUCGCUCCCCCUCAAAUUUGACCACUUGCAGGACCUGCUCAGAUAGACACAUCUGGCCAAGAUCUCAGUGGGGCUGGAGUGGGAGAGAUUGGACUGAACCCAAGACCAGGAAACAAGGAGUGUGCAGGUAAUGUAGGGGACUGAGAACUGGCUCCCCACCACAUGAGUGGAACCCAGGGGACAUCACUAGGAUAAAGUUUUCUAGUAUGAACCAGCAAGUACUGGGCACUGGAGGUGUGCUGACUUAAACUCUCCAGACCAACUGGCAUUCAGUGAAGAGACUGGAACCUGCCUAAAUCUAAGCACCACCUCCAGGAACUCCUACUAUGGGAUUCCUAUCUCACUCUAGCAACCCAGAGGGUGGAGCAUCACCCUCCAGAUAACUCCACCAAGCAGUACGGAGAUUCCUGGGAAAGCUGGGAAUGGAACCACCAUUUGACCCAGCUAUUGCCCUUCUCAGACUAUUCCCUGAAGACCUUAAAAGAGCGUACUACAGGGAUACUGCCACAUCGUUGUUCAUAGCAGCACAAUUCACAAUAGCUAGACUGUGGAACCAACCCAGAUGCCCUUCAAUAGAUGAAUGGAUAAAAAAAAAUGUGGCAUUUAUACACAAUGGAGUAUUGUGCAGCACUAAAAAAUGACAAAAUCAUGGAAUUUG